rnacentral:rRNA from 1 species
GACGAACGCUGGCGGCGUGCUUAACACAUGCAAGUCGAACGGAAAGGCGCUGCUUUUGUGCCUUUCUCGAGUGGCGCACGCGUGAGUGACACAUGUGUAUCCUGCCCUUAACUGUGGGAUAACUUCAGGAAACAGGGGCUAAUACCGGAUAGGAGCUCCUGCUGCAUGGGGGUGGAUGGAAAGUGUCGGCGGUUGGGGAUCGUCUCGCGGCUUAUCAGCUUCUUGGUGUGGUAGUGGCUUACCAAGCCUUUGACGGGUAGCCGGCCUGAGAGGGUUAACGGCGACAUUGGGACUACGAUACGGAGCAGAAUCGUACGGGAGGCAGCAGUGGGGAAUAUUGCGCAGUGGGCGGAAGCGUGAUGCAGAAGUGCCGCGUGCGGGAUGCCCGCUUUCUGGGUGUAAACAGCUUUGUCAUGUGACGAAGCGUGAGUGACGGUAAUGGGUAAAGAAGCACCGGCUAACUACGUG